rnacentral:rRNA from 1 species
UACGUAGGGGGCAAGCGUUGUCCGGAAUUAUUGGGCGUAAAGAGCGCGUAGGCGGUCCGGUAAGUCGGUUGUGAAAGUCGGGGGCUCAACCCUCGGAUGCCGAUCGAUACUGUCGGGCUAGAGUCCGGAAGAGGCGAGUGGAAUUCCAGGUGUAGCGGUGAAAUGCGUAGAUAUCUGGAGGAACACCGGUGGCGAAGGCGACAUCCUGGACCGGUAUUGACGCUGAGGCGCGAAAGCCAGGGGAGCAAACGGG